UGAAGGGGCCCAUCCCUGAGUCUGUAGGUCUCUCUUCUCUGGCUUUGUCACUCUGGACUUUGCUUCCGGCUUCAAGUUUCUAGGUGUAAUAUGUGAAGAUUAAUGGCAAUGAAGCAAACGUGCAUAAGAAAAUCCACGCAGCAAAGGCAAUUCCGUUAUUCUCAAGUCCAUAGAUGCCCAGUGUGACAUUGUGAACUGGAGAAAAAGGAGCACUUCCUGUUCAGGAAAUCUUGUAAAAUCAUAAAUGUCAGGACUCAGUCAACAAUACCCCAAAAUGAAGGCCUCAGAAGCAUCCUCAGAG
rnacentral:lncRNA from 1 species